UCCUCCAUACCUAUUCGGUCCACUCUCCUCAAAGGAAACUGUUUUCAUGACUGCUGGGAGGAGAUUUUUCAUAUGUUUCAAAAUGUUGUUUCCCCUACAAAUCCUUCAAGGAUGAUCGUCUUUAUCUGCUGGAGUAUUUAGAAGUCAAGGAAUCAUCUUAUUUUUUGAGGACACAAUCCUACUCCAAUGUGGGUGGCAGUCUCAGCGAUCAGAAACUAUGAUGCAAUCUUUGAAGCUAAUGCUCCCCGCAAUCAGAUACUACGAUACAUUCUUUAAAGAUAAUGCUCCCCCUUGCAC
rnacentral:lncRNA from 1 species